ACUAUAUUCUUAGUUUUGUUGUGAUGAGACAGUGAAAAAAAAGGGGUCAACAAGCAGUCAGAGGGGAUAAGAAUUGCAGGGGACUCCGCCAAUCUAACAUGAAAGGUUUGUGCCUUUGUCAUUCUAUGUUGUUGCGAUAGUAAUCUUCUGCGCAUGCUGUUGAUAUAUAGUUGAUGUUUAACCAAGAGUGCUUGUACUGAUCAAUGGGUGCAUAGUGAAGUGGUCUAUGUCAUAACAAUGUUAUAUUUUGGGCUCUAUAGUUCAAGUUGCCUAUUACAAAAAUUGUUAAGUCUCUGCUCAAAAAUGAAAUCUGAUUAUAUUGUCAUGUGAUUAUGGUUCUUUAGCUAAAAUGGUUGGUUGUUUGGCGUCCACUGGCAUCCAUUCCUCCGAUCCUGUCAGUGCCAAUUUUUCCAAGGUCAAACCCUUAUUCUUUUUUACUGAUUGUUUUGGUCAAUUUUGUUUAUUAUUUUUAGGGUUUUGAUUAUUUUUUGUGUGUGCUUUGUAAUUUGAUUUGGGUUGUGUGAAAAUUAGCUUUCUUGAUCUUGAUACUUGAGGGUUUUGUUUAAUAUGAUCAAAUUGAUUAAAGUGCUUUGUGAUAGGUUGAACUUUUGGCCGUUAGGAGAUUAGGAAUUUGAUAUAGUUUUUGUUAACUUUCGUGUAUUGAUUUGAUUGUUAGGAGCUCUCAGCGAAUUAGGUAAUUUCAAAUUAAUAACAAGAUUCAAUCUGACACUCUAAUUUAAUAUAAUAAAUUAACUAAUUAGAUAAAUUUGGAUAAAAUUAAUGGAUGAUCUCGGAUAGCUUUGCUGCUGAGAUAAAGUUGUCUGACAAGUUUUUUUUCCCACCAAAACCAUCAUUCUCGCAUAUUGAAAUUGUAUCUUUCAUUUUGCUUGGUUUCACCUUCGAAUAUGGUUCACAGUUUAUAAAUUAUGCAAUUUCGCGUCAAGUUCAAGACUUAAAUGUGCAUAUUCCAGAAUUUGUUAUGGAUUUAUCCACCUUUAGUUCUACUUCCAUGAAGAAACUUAAGAUGAGUCUUGAUUUUUGUAAGGUGUUUAGAUUCUCGGAUUGUUGGGAUUUGCCUGCUUUAACAACUCUACGCUUGAUACUCCCUUCAUUAAGCCUUGGCGGAAUAAGUAUUCCUGAAUUAUAGUUGAUCUGUUUGCCUUCUUUACAGACUCUGGUUCUCGAUUGUAUUGAGUUACCAAAUUCUCUUGAUUGCUUGCUUCAGUAACUCUCUAUCUGGCAAGGUGCAAGUCCUUAAUAUUAGCUGUAUUGGUUUAUUCCCAAUCACAUUUAGACUAUCUCAGUUAGAGUAUGUGAAUAUGAAAUUAAGGGAUAGCACUGAUGGAAGAAAGCCUAUUCCAGGAUCUAAGUUGAUGAAGAUAUAUUAUCGCGGAUUUACUUAUGUCUCAGGUUUAGGGUAGUGCAAAGAUUCUUACUCUCGACUUGGAGACUAUUGAGGUAUAGUUCUGCUUGAUUCUUUUCUGCUAUAGUAAUUAAGAUAUUACAACUUUAUUAUCUUUUCUUCAAUUGAAGAUAAUUUUAUUAAAAUUGAUUGUCAUGCCUACUGCUUUUUGUCAAUCAUUGGUCAUUCAUUGGAGAAUGUUAUUAUUGAUUGAUAAUAGUUCAAACUUUUGGAUGACAAUGCUAUAAUUUGAUCAAUUUUGUUUAGUUAUUUCCUAGGCUUUAUCUUCUAUUUCAGAUUCUCUCGUAAAUUCUCCUCCUCAUUCUAUAACUUAAAGUAUGUGAAGGUGCCACAAGGAUGUAAAGAAACAAAUUUUGUCAACUGACCUCAAAUGCUACUUGCUUGGUCGCUCUCCAAAGCUACUAUUGUCACUAAAUUUCCUCAGGUACUAAUGAAUCGUAUCGACUUUUGAUUAAUCGUUUCAUUCCCUUUCUUGUUUUGUAAGCAUAUAAGAGGAUGAUGUGGCAUCUCUCAAGGGCCUCCAUCUAAGUUUUCUAUUUUUCUAGCAUCUUUGUGCUUUGGUAUUUUUAUUUUGAUUAAAACUAAUUAAUUCUUUAUCUUUUCAGCUUAUUAAUUGUUAUGAAUUACAGUUACAGACUUUUUAUUUUCCUCUUCACUUCACUUCUUGCUUUCCAUGUGACAGUAUAUAUAGAUGUUUAUGCAUUGAAUUGCUAAUUGGUUGUGAUUGACUUGAUGAGUAAUUUGGUUUGGAAAGGCAUUAAGAAAGCAACUGGCUAACAAGAUCGGUGUCUGUUUGUAUAGUGUGAUUUUGCUGUAUGUUCGAUAUUGAACUUCUAUGAUGAUAUGUGUCGGUUAUUAGAGACAGCUAGGAAGUCUGCACCAACCACUGGAGAAUGAAGAUGCCCCACAGAUACCGUCCUGGAACUCUUGCCCUGCGGUAUAUAUUUGUUUAUAACUUCAUAUGCAUCCAUCAAAUACAGUGGAAUAAACCUUUCGGAGGUUUACUUAUGUUUUACACGUUUCUACCUAGACAUCUAUAAAUAUUAAAAUACUGUGCCCUGUCAUGUAUAUAUGUGAUAUAAAGAAGGAUCAUCCCCGCUCGUGAAUUGUGAUGAUUCUGUAAGUGUGGCCUCCCCCGUCGAGUUCUACGUGGCGGUAUGAUUUUUUAAGGAGUCAGUGGGAGCCUGAGAGGUUUUGUCGCCAAUGUUGUGGCCUCGUGGGGGUUUUUCCUAAAAGAAUUACACUUAUUUCUGUUAUUAGUAUUAGUCAUAUCUCUUCUGAAAUAAUCUUAAUGUAAACAAGAGGUUUUUUGUUUGAGGUGUUUUGGACAUUCUUUCUUUUGUUAGAUAAAAAACUGCUUAUGGCUUCUGCAAACUUUGCAUUUACAUUUUUAUUUUAGCAGAGCAUCAAUAUUCUCUUAUGAAUCAUGUAAUUUACACGGUGAUGUAUUUGAAACUAUUUUAUUCAUUUGAAACUAUUUUAUUCUUCUUCCUAAUUGAACACACACAUGCCCCUUUCACCUUCGACAGGACUACAACCCUGGCUGAAGGUAAUAGUAGUGCUAAAGGAUAAAGUAAAAGUACAGGAUAAGUUUAGUGACAAAUCAUCCUGUUUCUGUUUACUGAUCCGAGAGUGAGAUGGAUCCUGGCCUUCUGAUGAAGAAAGUGAGGGCUCCUGAUCUGCUGUUUCAUCAUUAGACCCC
rnacentral:lncRNA from 1 species